rnacentral:rRNA from 1 species
CCCAAAAGUGGAAUACGUCACAACGGCGAGUGAAGCGGUAAGAGCUCAAAUUUGAAAGCUGGCUCCUUCGGGGUCCGCAUUGUAAUUUGCAGAGGAUGUUUCGGGAGCAGCCCCCAUCUAAGUGUCCUGGAACGGACCGUCAUAGAGGGUGAGAAUCCCGUAUGGGAUGGGGUGUCUGCGCCCAUGUGAAACUCCUUCGACGAGUCGAGUUGUUUGGGAAUGCAGCUCUAAAUGGGUGGUAAAUUUCAUCUAAAGCUAAAUAUUGGCCGGAGACCGAUAGCGCACAAGUAGAGUGAUCGAAAGAUGAAAAGCACUUUGAAAAGAGAGUUAAAAAGCACGUGAAAUUGUUGAAAGGGAAGCGCUUGCGAUCAGACUCGCCUUGGGGGUUCAGCCGGCAUUCGUGCCGGUGUACUUCCCCCAGGGCGGGCCAGCGUCGGUUUGGGUGGCCGGUCAAAGGCCCUUGGAAUGUAACGCCUCUCGGGGCGUCUUAUAGCCAAGGGUGCCAUGCGGCCUACCUGGACCGAGGAACGCGCUUCGGCUCGGACGCUGGCAUAAUGGUCGUAAGCGACCCGUCUUGAAACACGGACCAAAA